rnacentral:rRNA from 1 species
GCAGUCGAGUGCGCGUCCGUAGCAAUACGGAUGGCGCACGGCGCACGGGUGCGUAACACGUGGGCAAUCUGCCCUCGGAUGGGGGAUAACCCCGCGAAAGCGGGGCUAAUACCGCAUGACAUUCCGAAGACUCCGGUCUUUGGACUCAAAGGCCGCAAGGCCGUCUGAGGAGGAGCCCGCGCCCGAUUAGCUAGUUGGCGGGGUAACGGCCCACCAAGGCUUUGAUCGGUAGCCGGUCUGAGAGGAUGGCCGGCCACACUGGAACUGAGACACGGUCCAGACUCCUACGGGAGGCAGCAGUGGGGAAUAUUGCGCAAUGGGCGAAAGCCUGACGCAGCGACGCCGCGUGGGGGAUGAAGCUUCUCGGAGUGUAAACCCCUUUCGACCCGGACGAAUGACCCGCAAGGGUUUGACGGUACGGGUAUAAGAAGCCCCGGCUAACUACGUGCCAGCAGCCGCGGUAAUACGUAGGGGGCCAGCGUUGCUCGGAAUUACUGGGCGUAAAGGGUUCGUAGGUGGUGCGGCAAGUUGGGAGUGAAAUCUCUGGGCUUAACCCAGAGGCUGCUUUCAAAACUGCCGCGCUCGAGUGCGAGAGAGGCCAGUGGAGUUGCAGGUGUAGCGGUGAAAUGC